GUGGCUUUCAGGUAGUGUUGGGUUAAAAUCUGCAGCAGGGGUGUAAAUUUAAUUUUUUAUCGGGUGUAUUUAUAGUCUGUGUUUGGGUGUAUUAUGCAGAUCUCUAUGCAGACCGUCAUAUAUGGGUUCCAAUCUAUCUGGAUCACCACUUCAUAUUAUAGUACCUGUAAAUCAGACAUUUUGAAUACACCAGAGAGAGUUUAAUUAA